rnacentral:rRNA from 1 species
UUCUGCACCGUAAGGUGGUACAGGAACAAGUGCUGGGCAAGACCGGUGCCAGCCGCCGCGGUAAUACCGGCAGCACGAGUGAUGGCCGCUAUUAUUGGGCCUAAAGCGUCCGUAGCCGGCCGGUCAAGUUCGUCGGGAAAUCUGCCCGCUUAACGGGCAGGCGUCCGGCGAAAACUGAUCGGCUUGGGGCCAGAAGACCUGAGGGGUACGUCCGGGGUAGGAGUGAAAUCCCGUAAUCCUGGACGGACCACCGGUGGCGAAAGCGCCUCAGGAAGAUGGACCCGACGGUGAGGGACGAAAGCUAGGGUCUCGAACCGGAUUAGAUACCCGGGUAGUCCUAGCCGUAAACGAUGCUCACUAGGUGUGGCGCAGGCUACGAGCCUGCGCUGUGCCGUAGGGAAGCCGUGAAGUGAGCCGCCUGGGAAGUACGUCCGCAAGGAUGAAACUUAAAGGAAUUGGCGGGGGAGCACUACAACCGGAGGAGCCUGCGGUUUAAUUGGACUCAACGCCGGACAUCUCACCAGCACCGACAGUAGUUGUGACGGUCAGGUUGAUGACCUUACCCGAGCUACUGAGAGGAGGUGCAUGGCCGCCGUCAGCUCGUACCGUGAGGCGUCCUGUUAAGUCAGGCAACGAGCGAGACCCGCACUCCUAGUUGCCAGCAGCAUCUCGCGAUGGCUGGGUACACUAGGAGGACUGCCGCUGCCAAAGCGGAGGAAGGAACGGGCAACGGUAGGUCAGUAUGCCCCGAAUGUGCUGGGCAACACGCGGGCUACAAUGGCCGGGACAAUGGGAAGCCACCCCGAGAGGGGGCGCUAAUCUCCCAAACCCGGUCGUAGUUCGGAUUGCGGGCUGCAACUCGCCCGCAU